CCUACGGGAGGCAGCAGUGGGGAAUAUUGGACAAUGGGGGGAACCCUGAUCCAGCCAUGCCGCGUGUGUGAAGAAGGCCCUCGGGUUGUAAAGCACUUUCAGUGAGGAAGAACGCCUGGUGGUUAAUACCCAUCAGGAAAGACAUCACUCACAGAAGAAGCACCGGCUAACUCCGUGCCAGCAGCCGCGGUAAUACGGAGGGUGCGAGCGUUAAUCGGAAUUACUGGGCGUAAAGCGCGCGUAGGUGGCUUGAUAAGCCGGUUGUGAAAGCCCCGGGCUCAACCUGGGAACGGCAUCCGGAACUGUCAAGCUAGAGUGCAGGAGAGGAAGGUAGAAUUCCCUGUGUAGCGGUGAAAUGCGUAGAGAUCGGGAGGAAUACCAGUGGCGAAGGCGGCCUUCUGGACUGACACUGACACUGAGGUGCGAAAGCGUGGGUAGCAAACAGGAUUAGAUACCCUAGUAGUC
rnacentral:rRNA from 1 species